rnacentral:lncRNA from 1 species
GCAAGCUUCGUCUGGUCAUAAGAAGGAUACAGAUUGUGUUUUCCCUCCUCUUGCUACCCAGUGUGAGAUCAAAUUGGAGUGACUCUGGAUAUCUACAUGAAAACACUAAAAACUGAAAAUUAUGCUAUGCAAGAUAAAUUAUCCACACAGAUUAUUCAUGGUGUGGCAGUAUUCUUUCUUCAGAGAAGUUCGACAAAUCUCCUGAAAGCUGUUCUAUAUUGUCUUACAGUGAAAACGUAUAGAAUUC